rnacentral:rRNA from 1 species
GAUGAACGCUGGCGGCGUGCUUAACACAUGCAAGUCGAACGGAAAGGCCAGUGCUUGCACUGGUACUCGAGUGGCGAACGGGUGAGUAACACGUGGGUGAUCUGCCCUGUACUUCGGGAUAAGCUUGGGAAACUGGGUCUAAUACCGGAUAGGACAACUUUUUGGAUAUUGUUGUGGAAAGCUUUUGCGGUAGGGGAUGAGCUCGCGGCCUAUCAGCUUGUUGGUGGGGUAAUGGCCUACCAAGGCGUCGACGGGUAGCCGGCCUGAGAGGGUGUACGGCCACAUUGGGACUGAGAUACGGCCCAGACUCCGACGGGAGGCAGCAGUGGGGAAUAUUGCACAAUGGGCGCAAGCCUGAUGCAGCGACGCCGCGUGGGGGAUGAAGGCCUUCGGGUUGUAAACUCCUUUCGCUAGGGACGAAGCGUUUUUGUGACGGUACCUGGAGAAGAAGCACCGGCUAACUACGUG